AGAAGCAUCUCAGUAGUUAUUAUAUAGGCACUUUGCUAUGGGACAGUGGUAGGUACACAAAGGAGGAAUAUAAAUUAUAGAGAAAGUAGAAAGGUUCAAGGGCAUCGAAACCGUUUUUCAGGAAACACUUAAAAAAUACCUCUAAACUAUCACAUUAGAUUCAUUGCAAAGGGAUGACCUACCUGUUUGAGGGUUGUUUGAAUCGCAACACGGGACCAAUCGUAAAAACAGGUUCAUUGACAGUAAGUGGGAGGAGAGAGAAUAUAAAUGAGCGAAGGAUCGAUUUGAGAGGAUUUUACAUGGUUGAGAAACAGGAUUAAGAUCGAAGUUAGUUCACAUUAUCGCCGAUAGGUGGCGCCACCAAGUAGUAAGGAUACGGGACAGCGACUUUUUACACUGAAUUACCAAAUUCGCAACAUGUUGCAGCAACAUUUGCUUAAGCAUGUGCAGCUUGGCAACAUGUUGAAUGUAAGUGUGCAUCAUAUUGCUAUGUUAUUACGUGAUCAUGUUAAAUAAAUACUUAUAAGAUAUUUUAUUAACAUUGAAUUGGGAACCAAUUUCUGCUAUGUUAUUAACUGGUCAAGUUAAAUAAAUACUUAUAGGAUAUUUUAUAAACAUUGAAUUGGGAAAACAAAUGUGUGAAGUUUCUGAAAUUUACAUCCUAUAGAAAACAUAGGUUGGAAACCUGGGUAUCUAGAUGUCCGUAUAGAGGGUUGAAUGGUAAGAGAACACAAAUUAAUGGAGAUAUAUAUAGGAGCACGCAAAGAAUAAAAUUAUAAUAGGAAGACAUCAAAAUUAAUUAAUGCUACUUAGAGUAAAUAUACGUCUGUCCCGUAUCCUUACUACUUGGUGGCGCCACCUAUCGGCGAUAAUGUGAACUAACUUCGAUCUUAAUCCUGUUUCUCAACCAUGUAAAAUCCUCUCAAAUCGAUCCUUCGCUCAUUUAUAUUCUCUCUCCUCCCACUUACUGUCAAUGAACCUGUUUUUACGAUUGGUCCCGUGUUGCGAUUCAAACAACCCUCAAACAGCAAAGUGCCUAUAUAAUAACUACUCACAGCUAACAGCUAGGACAUAAACUAGUAAUCUUUCAACAACGAUGGAUGACCUUGAAAUCAUUUUUAUCGAUUCCCAACCGGAAUCAACCAUAAAUCUGGACUCUCAGCCGAGCUCCGUAGACCUGUCCUUGAUUUUUGGGAUUAAGACUCAAACCUAUCUCGAGAGCAACUUGACCUGGUUAAGUGACAUUAAAUGGGAUGAUGACGACGAUGACCCAAGGAAUGCAACGUCUAAUAAUGAUAAUCCAGCAUACAUUUUCCCGGAUGAUGACAACAUUUUCGAUUUAGUAGAUAAUCAGGAUGAUGAUAAAAGAUCUCAACUCCAGGAACUACUUCGG